CAAACAGGAAAUCGCUCUCUUCUUUAUUCAUCGCUGAGACGCUGAAUAGUCGAGAAUAGGACGCCAGAAGAGUAAGAGGUCCCUGGACCUUUCUCUGACUGGAUGAAUUUCGUGCAGCCCAGGGUGUCCUUCAACUCACAGAGAUCUGUCUGUCUCUGUCUCCCAAGUGCUGAGAUGAAAGGUGUGUGCCACCACUAGUGUGACUAGCUCUGCAUUCUGCAUCUUCAAGCAAACUUUGUUAGAUUAUAAACAAAAUAUCACCACAGGCAGUCAACCCAACAGUGUCCACAGUUUGUUCUGGCUCUGACAGCAGGAAAACAUCUCCAAGAAAGAACUAGAGCACUCCUCAAAAUCUUACCUGAUAGAGGCCACAAUUAUCCAAAAAGAAAGUCCAACUGUGCCAAGUGUCAGUCAAAUACUUAGGAGUGGUCCUAUUUAAAGGAAAGGGAAUUAAAAGAAGACCGUGUGCACUCUAUCUCUUCCUU
rnacentral:lncRNA from 1 species